GAUGGAUUGUUUAAUAUAAAUGAAAGCAAUAUUGGAAAACAAAAUUAUGCUCGCAUCAGUUUAUAGUGCCAGCAUGUCCUCUUUUUAAUCAAAAUUUUGAAUCGUAAACUAAUUUCAGUAGUUUUGAUAUCUCAGACUGACUCAUGGAUAUAACAAAAUUAUUUGUCCGCAUCACCCAAAACCAUGAAAACUGACCAUAUUUAUAGCUUACUAUGCGGUAUGGGCUUUGCUCAUUGUUGAAGGCUGUAGGGUGACCUAUAGUUGUUAAUGUCUGUGUCAUUUUGGUCUUUUGUGGAUAGUUGUCUCAUUGGCAAUCAUACCACAUCUUCUUUUUUAUAUUUGACAGCAUCAACCA
rnacentral:lncRNA from 1 species